UUUGAAUUUGAAAUAUCCCGUAUAGCCGUUCGCGGGCCGCUGUUGCGUGUUUAAGAGAAAAAAAAACGACUCUUACACUCUCUCUCUCUCUCUCUCUCUCUCUCUCUGACGUAUAUCGCAUAAACUUCAAAACGCCACUCGUAUUCUUUACGAUUAGCCUUGUUCAUUAAUGUGAAGUUUCUCAGAAAACGCUUCAAUGUCUUAUUCUCCAACGGUUAUCACAGUGCAUACGGUGAAUCCGCGUUUAUGCAUCCAAGUGGCGAAUGAAAACAACCUCAUUCUUGUUUUCUACAAUUGAUCAAAUAAUACGCAAAGAAUCAAACCGUGUCACCCAAUAUCUCCCACCUAUUACAACUCUUUAUCUUUUUAUCGAAUCUCCUUCCCUUACGUGCAUUUCUCCGCCUCUAUGUAUGCGGUAAAAUUCACGCCGAUAUAUUAUAUUACGAAUUUGAUUAUAGGCGUGCGCGCAGCACGAGCAUUUUGCAAUUUAUCGUGCGGUCUCCGGCAAGAUUCGUACUAGUCGCUUGCGCGCGUUCGGACGAGCGAGAAAUAAAUCCGCUGCAUUUUUACAAGCUCGUUUUUUAUAGCCAGACCUCAAAGCGAACGAGACAUUUAUCUGUACCGCGCACGCGCGCGCGUGGUUCCAAGAGCGAGUAAUGCGUGUUUUGUAAACGCCACGGUAAUAUAAUUUUGCUUUUUUCUACGUCGUAUACAAAGGAGGAUCGGAUAGCUCUGAAUGAUGUGUGGUUGCCUUGAUUUUAUCGAGAGCUUGAGUUUGGAGUUGAAGUGUGCGAAUGUGCGAGAAGAAAGCCAAGGUGACACUGAUGGAUCAAGUGCGCAAGCUUGGAGGGAAUUUCGAUCAACGAAUAUAUUGAGCGAGUGAGGGAUUGAUCUGAUUUACGUAAUUGGAGAUCGGCUGCUUAUCACGUGGUUGUGAAUUUUAGUGAAUAUUGACCAUAAAUCUUUGGCUUGUCAAUCUGGAUUUAUUCUGACACAGAGGCGGAUGUCAUAUACCGACUUUAAUAAUGAGCUUUUCAAGCAACUCUGUUGUUACUCUGUUGACAAACAACGCAUUGUUUCAUAAUGCCUGAUGAUGAGUUGUGCAUGUAUACAGUAUUGCGACCGCAAAAUACUGCUAUAGAAAAACUUGAAUUUGAAGAGUUGAUUGGUAUCCGGCUUUUUCAUUUCCCAUUAUUUUUGGCUUCGAUUUUCUUUAGGUUGUAAUUUUAAAAACUGCAUCUAUUUAAUGCACAGUAAAGCUUGAAAUUAUAAAAGAAAAUUAUAUAGGCUUUAUGAAUCAUAGGUUUUUUCACUGCUUUUAGGCCUUGAAUAUGUUCUGAAACACGAAUGAUGUUAUGCAGUGUAAACUUCUGUUUCAGAAAAUACUAGUAAAUAUUACCUGUUUACUCUUUUUGGAGCUGCUCAUUAUCAGGUUGAAAAAUACUUGAAAUGGCGUAUGAAUAUCUCAACACGAGAAUUUAGCAUCGACUGAAGCUACCUCUUAGUCGAUUCACUUUUCAGCACGCAAAAGCUUGAAGAAUGCUUUGUGGGCAAUAAUCAUGAAUUUCAGAUUCUAAUAAUCUUUUCAUUGUUGUAUCAAAUUCAUGUAGUAUAGUGUUUUAUGUAUCCAGUAUAGUGUCUUAUUAAACGAGAAAAGGACAGAAAAAAUUUCAGGGUAACGACAUUACAAAGCAUGGAAAAAUAUCUGGGAUCUUCCAUGAUAGGGAAUUAGUUAAGACAUGUACAUCAUCAUAGAUAAGAUCGAAUCGCAAGUACAGUUUAUUUACGAAAGUUUAUAAAGCAUUGAUCUUUCAAUGUUAUUUACAUUAUACUUACAUGCAUUCAGAUUAUUUCUCAUGCCUAUGAGAUAAGCAUACAAAUUUCUACAUCAAUAACAAUUAUUCCGAACUCCUAUAUAUAAAACUAAUUAUCUCAAACAAUAAGAAUUCGAUGGCUGUUUUACAAUCUCGACCAAACGGUACAUGAAUGUAAAGGAACAAAAUAAGUUAAAUUUUUUACAAGUCGCAAUGACUUCACUAUUUAUAGUAUACAUUGCUAAAAAAUCAAUUUCAACGUAAACACACGUUAAAAAAUGUACUCUACUUAUUCACAAGUUCAUCUGCUUUAUUAUAAGCCUGUUUCGCUCGCAAUGUUCGCAUCGCAAUUUUUACGACUAGUGCAUUCUUUCCUCGUUGCAAUAAAUAUACAGAAGUAGUAUAUAUACGGACAAUGUCGUGUCAUCGAAAUCACAAAAGACGCGGAAUUUCUCAUUGGUCGAUCGAGUGCUGUCACGUGAUUCGUUUUGUCGAUAAAUCGUGAGGUGAAGAAACAUAUGUUUAUUUAUAUUUAAUUUUUUCUAUACAUUUUUUUGUAGUGGAUGAUAUUACACCGUAUGUAAUAAAUUUUUAUUGGAAUGGAAAUAAAUAUUUUAAUUAUUAUGAAAAUAUA
rnacentral:lncRNA from 1 species